rnacentral:rRNA from 1 species
UAGCGAAGGGGGCUAGCGUUGCUCGGAAUUACUGGGCGUAAAGCGCACGUAGGCGGCUUUCUAAGUCGGGGGUGAAAUCCUGGAGCUCAACUCCAGAACUGCCUUCGAUACUGGAGAGCUUGAGUCCGGGAGAGGUGAGUGGAACUGCGAGUGUAGAGGUGAAAUUCGUAGAUAUUCGCAAGAACACCAGUGGCGAAGGCGGC